GCGAAGCAGAACUGUGUUGUAGAUACGUUGAUGACAUCUUGGUCGUGUGGGAUGGCGAGGAUAGCGUCAAUCGAUUGGAGGGGGAAUUUGCGAUCCCAGCUUGUGGCCUGGAUCUCCAACUUGAUCAAAUCAGUGGGGAUGGGCUGCAUUUUUUGGACCUUGACAUCUCUAUUACGGGCGGCUCCGUGGAGACUGCGGUAUAUGGGGGGCCCACUGGUGCGACUGUGCUGGUCCCACGCUGGUCCAGUGAUGGGUGGGUGCACAGGAGGGCCGCAUUGAGAUCGCUACUGCUGAGAGUGGCAACACAUUGCACUGCAGAGCGGGCCACCCGGGACGAGCUGAGGCGUGUCAUGGAGGUUGCCGGCAGGCACGGAUGCAAUCGUUCCUUUAUUGAGGGACUGUGGAGUGAAAUUUUGAACAGGAGGAGCGCUUUGACUGCGCAGGAGGGGGGGGGCUCCUCUGCA
rnacentral:lncRNA from 1 species